rnacentral:rRNA from 1 species
CCCUUAGAUGUCCGGGGCUGCACGCGCGCUACACUGAAGGAAUCAGCGUGCUAAAACCAUUGUCGAAAGGCAUUGGUAAACCCAUUAAAAUCCUACGUGAUUGGGAUCGGGAAUUGCAAUUAUUUCCCUUGAACGAGGAAUUCCCAGUAAGUGUGGGUCAUAAGCUCGCGUUGAUUACGUCCCUGCCCUUUGUACACACCGCCCGUCGCUGCCCGGGACUGAGCCGUUUCGAGAAAAGCGGGGACUGCUGCUAUCGGGGCUUUCGGGCCUUGGCUUCGGUGGAAACCGCUUUAAUCGCAGUGGCUUGAACCGGGCAAAAGUCGUANCA